AACGAACGCUGGCGGCAUGCCUAACACAUGCAAGUCGAACGAGACCUUCGGGUCUAGUGGCGCACGGGUGCGUAACGCGUGGGAAUCUACUCUUGGGUUCGGAAUAACUCAGAGAAAUUUGAGCUAAUACCGGAUGAUGUCGCAAGACCAAAGAUUUAUCGCCCAAGGAUGAGCCCGCGUAGGAUUAGCUUGUUGGUGAGGUAAAAAGCUCACCAAGGCGACGAUCCUUAGCUGGUCUGAGAGGAUGAUCAGCCACACUGGGACUGAGACACGGCCCAGACUCCUACGGAGGGCAGCAGUGGGGAAUAUUGGACAAUGGGCGGAAAGACCUGAUCCAGCAAUGCCGCGUGAGUG
rnacentral:rRNA from 1 species